rnacentral:pre_miRNA from 1 species
GGUAGGAUAGCUGGGUCAAAUGGUGGUUCCAUUCCAAGUUUUCUAAGGAAUAUCCAUACUGUUUUCUAGAUUGGUUGUAUCAAUUUGCGGUCCCAUCAGCAAU